GAGAAAUCUCAGUAUCUUCUCAGUUUGGCCAUGAACCUAAACCACUCUGAAAAACAAGUCUAGUUAUAAAAGGAAUGUGAUAUGUUUAAGCAUUGAUUAAAAAAAUAAAAGCUCCCAGCCUGGUUUUCAUUUUAUGAGUUGGACAAGCAUAGCUCCAUGGUUGGACAGAUGUCUACUGUGGAAAAGAUCUCAACUCCUCACCAUGGUCGGACAGAUGUCUACUGUGGAAAAGAUCUCAACUCCUCACCUAAUGCCACAUAGGUUCCUGGGGUCCUGUAAGGCAUCUUCGGGAUGCAGUUGAAGGAGGCCAUGCAAGCUCUGAGCUUCAGAGGGCACAUGAGAGGCGUGCAGAGCUCCUGCUGUGGCUGCUGGGAAGUGCCAUGGUGUUCCAAAGGGCCGCCAGUGUGGAGCAGGAAGUGGUCAUGUAGAGCAACUCAAAGUCAUUUUGGGAAGUAGUCAGGAUGCAAAUGUGCAUGAAGGAAAAUCCUUAUAAUGCUUCCACAUUCCACCAGUGUUGGAGCAGUGCAGAUCAGCCCCCAUCAGCCGGGAACUGUCUUCUGACACCUCCUCAGCACGUUUUAAGUGCUACCAUUGGAUAUUCAUUUUAUUCACCAAACAUUUACGGAGCUUUCUGUGUGUGCCUCAGCAUCUUUAGAAGCAUCGCAGACCAUAUCACACGGCUGGGACCCUGACCACAGGCAGGCAACGUAAUGGUAUGCGGCUGUGCAAGAAUAAGUUCUGUUGGAACGGUCUGUGUUUCAGGCACCAGAACCCAAGCAUUGGUAGGACCCUGCCACCACCCACGUCGGGGAAGCCAUGCAGGAGAAGGCACUGCGGUGGUCCUGCCCGUUCUCACUGAUGUCACAUUCUGGCAGGACAUAGAGCAAUAGGACCAAGAAUGACCGACCCUGAGUCUAGGUCUAUUUAUGGCUGUGGCCUUGGAGAGCUAAAUUUCAUCAGAUUCCAAAUCAGAUGAGUUUCCUCUGGGCUGUAGAGAUGCUAUCAGGUGCCUGCAUCUUCCCCGGGUGUCAGUAUGGGUGAUGAAGGCCCUCGGAGGGACAGCCAGGGCAGCCAGAGGGCAAGCAGGCAAGAGCCAGCUCAGGAAGGCAGAAGUGCCUGCCCCUGGAGGCCCAGACAAUACAUGAAUCCCUUCUUUCCUGUGGUCUUUCACCCACUUGAAAGACAUGCCACGAAUAUGCAGUUUUGCUUGCAGUGAUGUGGGACCAGAGAGAUUUUGCAUCAGCAGUAUUUGUUGGGAAACAUGGCAAAGUCAGGGGGAGCCCCGUAUUUCUCCUUAUCAUGUGGAUGGUAGCCGGCUCAGGGAACAAAGAAAGGUAUCUGAUCGAGGAAGUGGUUAAUUCACAAAACCAUAACUGAUGUGAGUCUGUAAGUCAAGCUGAGAAGGUGGCUCUGAGUAAACUGGAGUCCCAAGGGACACGGGAAGGGCCUCCCCACGUGGGUCAGCGAGGGUUCCCCUUGCUCCGUGGACACGGGGGACAGCAUGGCACAUCAGCCUGCCCUCACUCCGGCUGGCUCCUCUGCAUGAAGGAAUCCCCGCUAUCCUUGAAGGGCAUCUGUCUCCUCGCAUCCCCGCGGCUGGCAUCCCUGUCUUGCUGCUUGCUAAGAAUCCAGAACAGAUUCAGGUCAGUGCAUUUCGAGGCAGCUAAACGCUGGAUAAAUGGCAUUGUACGUAAAUUUCAGUGGCACAGCCAGGGUUACCCGCGGCCUUGCUCGCAGCAGCUAACAGGUGUGAGCUAAUGUCACGGAUGUAACCUUGCUUCUCCGGUGGUGCCGCUGCCAAGGCUGGAUUCCUCCCCGCUCUGUCCCGGCUGCUUCAUGGAACGGUUUCAGCUUGUGCCACUCCAGCCGUCUUUUUGAAGUCUGGGCAGAAAGUGGAAGGCAGGGCCUGCUUUGUUAUCUGGUCUCCACACUCGUCUCUUUUGGUUCCUGGGUUUUUGGCUCACAGACGAGGGGCGGCUAACAAGGUUUGUGUCUCGUUGAGGGUUUUAUGACUGAACCAUCUGGAAUUUUUGGACAUUUUCAAACUAGCACAAUUGGCAUGAAUUUAGAGGUGAAAAGGUGGGGAUAAUCUUUUCUCUUGGAUUUGUUGGUCCUAGGAUAUAGAACGUCAAUAUCCAGAAGACACAUUCGUACCAGAUGAGGAAUUGGGAGAAUGAUAUUCUUUCUUUCUCUCUCUCUCUGACUCUUGUUCUGUCUCAGAUACAUGGCAUGAAUUUAGCCCAGUUUCAAAGUUAUUUAUUCAUGAGAGACACAGAGAGAGAGGCAGAGACAUAGGCAGAGAAGCAGGCUCCCUGACGUGAACUUGAUGCGGGACUCGAUCCCAGGACCCCGGGAUCAUGCCCUGAGCUGAAGACAGACGCUCAACCACUGAGCCACCCAGGCAUCCCUCAACUUCACAGGUAAAGGACGCAGUCCACAUGAGACCUCCCUUCAGCUGCAAGCUUGGAGUCCCCAUGACCACCCUCUGGUUAGCUAAUUCUCUAGAAGGGGUCAUGGAACUCUCCGAGGGCUCUUACGGGGAAUGGACACAAGUUGAGAUCAGCCAAAGGAAGAGACACAUGAACAGAUCCUGAAAAGUGCCCAAAGUGAGUUUCGCUGGCCCUCCCCACUGGGUCAGCAUUGAUGCACACACAGGGGAUCGCCAACCAGAGAGCUCCCCCAAGCCUCCCUGCCCCACAUGCUCAUUAGAUAGCUCUGCCUCACGGAGGGAUGACUGAGGAUCCAUCAAUUGAUUAUUGACUAGUGGGUUGCGUGCAUCGUUGGUCUCAGUCUCCAGGUGAUGGGUACCUAAAUCACAGGGCUGGUCUUUGAGGCAUGGCCGGCCCUACCCUAGAAGUAUCAUGUGCAUCUUGUCGUUGGAUUACUUGGGAUGACCCAUGGCCCCAGGAAGGCAGACCCUCCUGCCAGGUGGGACAUCUUAGAGGUCCCCCAGAGGUGGGAGACAGAUUAAAUUAUUUGCCCCCUCCCCAUGGAGAAGAUGAAAUACAGUGUCCUGGUGGGUCUGUAACUCCCUCUCCCUCUUUCGUAGGCUGGUUGGAACUUUCUUAUCUCUUUUCUUGUGAUUUCUGCUGAAUUCCCUGGAACUAAUGCCCAUUGUAUGCACCUGAUUACAAAGGGAAAGGUUUUAUAGAACAUUUCUCCUCUCAGGAAAAUGAGAGGCACCCUGCCUUUUUCUUGGUGAGAGAGAAAUGUUCUUUUGAAUAAUUUUUUAAUUUACUAAAAUUUUUUGAUUCCAUUGCUGCAAGGAUGCAAUCUUCCAGUGGAGAGGCACACAGAUAACGAUGUUUUAAUAUUUGCGCUGCUCGGAAGUGAGGCCGGCGAAAGCCCAGGGGCCGCCAAACUGCAGUGAUUUGUUAAACAGCUCCCGCCAACUUGCUGAGAUGAUGAAACACGGGUCCCUGGGCUGGCAGAAACACAUUCUUCCCCCUCUCCAGGACCACCAGGACCCAAGCCAGGCUCCUCUGCACCCCCGACCCACAGUACCCCUGGCCACUAGCGUGCCCCGGAGGCCAGCCUUCCCCGUCAUCCACAAAUUAAUUAUCUGUACCUCCAAUGGGAUGAUGUUCUUGCCGUUCAUUUACUACCUGGAGUUUAAAAAGUCAUGUGUUUUAAGGUCAGUAAACCCUCGGUUCUGUGCCUGGCGGCACCUGAGUUACUGGUUACUUAAGGUCACCCACAGGCCAUGGUGCUGUGUCCAGAUGGUGAUAAGUUUAGCUUCAGUGUCACCAUGGGGCUCUUGCUAGCAAUGGCUUUUUAAACUUUGCAGUGUCAGGUACGUCCAACUUUCUGAGAUAGUAGAGCUGCUCCUGAGGUCCAGUGGUCCAGGCCCCAAUGUUCACUUACCUCUCAAGCCUCCUGGCCUGGGCUGUGCACUGGUGCUGGAAGUACAAGGCAGUUUUCUGGGGAAGUCUUCGGGGGAUGGCAGGGCAAACAGGGCACUCAGGCAUCAGUAGAGGUAUGGUGCCCCAGCUGUGCAUACUUGGCCACCCUAACUACUGAUUGGCAUGAGGGUCUCAUCUUUGUAGAGAGUAGGGUACCCACCUGCAAAGGUGGCUAACACAGAAGUGGGGUGUACUGGGAUGGAAGCCGGGCCCUUCGCAGCUCCCUGGUAACUGUUGAUGGAGUAGCCAAGUCAGGUGACACUGGGGACAUUCGGCAUCUGAGCCCCCAUGCUGAUGGGGUGAGCAUAGUGAUGCUUAUGUGCUCUGAGGGCACUUUCAUUGUGCCUGACACUGUUCUUAAGCUUCUUCUGUGCAUGACCUCAUUUGAUUCUUGAAGCACCCUAGAGAUGGGUUCUCUCAUUGCAUCCAUUUACACCUGGGGAGACUGAGGCAUGAGGAGGAGAGGAAACAUGCCCAAGACCACAUAGCAAGGAGGUAGUAGCGUCAGGUUCUGGACUUAGAUAUCCUGCCCCUGACUGAACUUCGCUACCAGGUGAGCUUGCAGGGGAGAGGUCCUCUCCCCUCCCCCCACCCCAGGAGGGGAAGUGCUGGGUGCCAGUAAGUGCUAAGUGGAGGGUGGCCAGCUGGAGAGCCAUCCUGGGCCUGCUCACCCUGUAGUCUGGUGUCUCAGUCCUGACAGCAGGGGGCAGGAUGAGACAGGGAACUGCAGCCACGGUAGGGGCUCCAGCUCCUGUGGCCGGCUCCAAGGAGACUCAGGAUGAGGGCGGCAGGGGCAGGGCAGGGAAGGUGGCUCCUUCUCUGACGACCUUCAGAAUCUAUGGGUGGGCCAGGGUCUCAUGAGCAGCAGCCCCUUCUGUAGAGAAAGUGCCUCUUUGGCUCCCAACACCCUGUUGGACGAGGGGUGUGAAAGCGUAUUCCAUAUGAAUCGGGGAGAAGUGGCAGGUGCUCUCAUGCAGGCUCAUCACAGAGGAACCCCUGCCCCUGCACAGUGCCUGCUUGCUGGUCCGGAGGCAACGUUGAUCUGAUGCCACAGUGAUGUCUGUACUCUCGUUCUGUGCUUGGGGUCUUGCCUGGUGGUGGGUGGAGUAUGCUCACCCUGCCUUCUGCCACCCUCUGCUGCCCCUGAGCUCAGCCCCUCUGCGAGGUCUUCGGGUCACUACAGGGCGGGCCAAGCUAGGCCCCUAUGUCCACAGGGCCUCUGCUGCUAGGACCUAGGAGGCAUAGCCAGGACUUGGGACCCAGGUCAAGGGUGCAGACUUUCCCUCUCUCCCCACUCCCCACUCCGUGGGCUUCUAGAAGACCUUCCUUUGUGGGGCUUCUGACGAAGCACGAUGGAGGGAGAGAUGUGCUGGUCCACAUCUCUCAGCCACAAAGGAAGAUGGGAGGCCCAGAGUGACAGAGGCUGUAACGGAGCCCUGGGGCCACUGGCUGGGCUGCUCCUGGGGGGUGUGCCCUGGGGCAGGGCUGUGUUCUCUCAGCAUCACACUCCAGCUGCUGCCUACUCCCCACUUUUCCUUGAAGCUUUCCUUCCCGUACUGUGUCUUGAACCUUGUUCCUGCCUCUGCUUCCCUCCUGGGGCAGAUACCCAAGCCCCCAGCCCAGUUGGAGGAGGGAUAUCAGCAGCCCAUGGUCCCAGGGUUUCUAGGGCUCCCUGGAGAGGCCAGCCUUGAUUUAACAUGGACAUUCCACACAGACACUCUGCUUUGGUUGUUCCCAGGCCCCCUCUGCAUAUGCACUCCAGCACCUUUAUGCCAAAUCUUAAGUUAACCAGGGCCAAGAGAUGGGGCAGGAACUAAGGACCCAGACCAGGGUCAGACCAGCAGGCACGGGGUCACCCAGCAUCACUGGCAUCUCUGUGUGGGCAUAGGCGUCCUCAGAACAGAGCCUUCUGGGGUGCAGUUCUGAGUGGCUGCCGUGUCCUGUGUGGGGACCCAGAAGGGAGCCUGUGAAGCCUAGUGGGUCUGGGAUAGUCUGUCUGAUGGCAAGUGGAACCAGAAUGGAACCGAGACAUGGAGGACAGUGUCUGGCCUGCCCUUGGGGCCUGCUGCUGGCUGUGGGGUCAGGGCUGCACACUCUCAUGACUCUGCCAUUGCUCUGUGUCUGGGUCUCCAGUGACCUGGAGGCCUGGGGAGAGGGGCUCGGGAGCAAGGGGCUGAGUAGUAGAAGUUUGACACAAACUCCCAGGUUUAGACCCCAGGCCCAGGGAAGCGGCACCUGAAAGGAAUAUGGCCAGGUGGUGCCCGGGUGCAGCUAGCCCUGCUGGUGUGGACAGAGGUCAAGCAUGUGCACUUCUCUGCACUUGGGACAUGGCUCAGAAAUUCGCUCCCUUGAAGGCAACUCUGAGUUGACAGCUCUCCCUAGGGAUGCCCAGGCACUCAGUGUCCAGCUCCUGCUAUGGAGGCUUCUGAAAGCCUUGGGAGGACCUGACAAAUGACCCUGAGGAAGGAGGACAAGACAGUUGUGUUGAGGACAGUGGACAGGAACCGGGAGGCAUUGUCUGGGGCUGCAACAGGACAGGUUUAGGUUAGAAUACAGUUUUGAAAUAUUGAUGAUGCAUUUAUUCAACAUCCAUUUAUAGAGUAUCGAUUUUGUGCCCGAUCAUGGUGUAGACAAUGUUGGGGACACAGCAGUGGACACAAGUGGCCCCGGAUGCCUGCCCUGUGAAUCCAAGGCUCUAGUGGAGGAGAUGGGAAUUGACAUAGUAUGUGUGGUAUCUGGGCCCCCUGAGGGUGACGUGGGAUGAGCUGGGACAGGUCUGGCAUCGGGAAUGUGGGGCGGCACUUGAGUGUUAUGAUGUCAAUAUGAGGAGCUGGCACGUCAGAAGCCAGCAGCCUGGGUUGGAGUGUGAGGUGGUGGACGAGCCCGUCACAGACACGUGAGGACCACUGAGGCCGCGUCUCCCAUGGUGUUCCUGAGCUGUCUGGCCUCUGAAAGUGGUGCUGGUGCCCCGUGACAGCCAUUCUUCUGGGGAAUAAGGGAGAAAUGGGGAUAUCACCCCCACUACCCUGCCCAUCCCACUGCUGGGAUGUACAGCCAGGUUCCCGACUGUGGCAAAGACAGACCUGGAGGGGCACCAUCUUUUUUUUUUUUAAUUUUUAUUUAUUUAUGAUAGUCACACACAGAGAGAGAGAGAGAGAGGCAGAGGGAGAAGCAGGCUCCAUGCACCAGGAGCCCGAUGUGGGAUUUGAUCCCGGGUCUCCAGGAUCACGCCCUGGGCGAAAGGCAGGCGCUAAACCACUGCGCCACUCAGGGAUCCCUGGAGGGGCACCAUCUUAAGACCAGAUAUGGCUGUCUAUUUUAUGUGUCAACUUGGCUGGACCAUGGUGCCCAGAUAUGGGGCCAAACAUUAUUCUGGGUAUUUCCAUGAGGGUUAUUUCUGGAUGAGAUUGAGAUUUACGUCAGUGGAGUUUUAGUGAAGCAGAUUGCUCUCUGCGAUGUGGUGGGUCUCAUCCAAGCAGUUGAAGGCCUGACUAGAGCAGAAGACCGGCAUCUCCUGAGCAAGAAGAAAUUCUGUGGCGGACAGACUUGGGACUUGAACUAUAGCAUUGGCUGCAAAGGUUGGGUCUACAGCUUCCUCAUCCAUUCUGCAGAUUUGGGGCUUGCAGCUUCCAUAAUUGUGUGAGCCAGUUCCUUGAACCAAAUUUCUCUCCACGUGUAUGCACAUCGUUUUGUUUUUGUUUCUCUGGAGAGCCCUCACUCAUACACGCCAGGGCAGGAUGCAGCUGGGGUUCUCUAAGACAGAAGAAAUGGUCCCCGAGAAGCAGCAUCCAGCAAGGGCUGAAGAGCAUCCUUCUGGACUAGGGAGCUUUGCAGGGUCACGUCGAAUCUACUGUAGCAAGGCCGUGGUAGCUCACCAUCAGUCCCCAAGAAAGCCUGUCCUUUAACGCACAACACGCAGCACCCAUGCCCUCUCCCCAUACAGCCCCCAAGGUGAUUGUGGCUGGUGCCCUAGCCCCUGUUCAUCCCAGCUGCUUCCCCUUCGCUUGACUGACACCACCCAUGACUCAUGAGUACCUCCAGUCUCCAGAAAGGGAAAAGAAAAGGGAAUCCAACCAUCAUCAUUCUGAAGAGUCCCUUGGUCCUCUGUCCAUGCUGGGCCCUCUACUACACUGCUCCUGACCUCCCCAGCGCAGUCCCCCGAGUCUCAUGGAGGACUCCCCCAGCUCCCAAGAAUUCAGACUCCCUCAUCUCUGUCUCCAGGACGUCUCUUGUCCACUUGCCCGGCCCUUCCUGCCAAGGCCGGGCUCUGCCUCUGGGCAGGCCGGCGGUCAAUGUGUGGCCUGCAGGGUGCGGUGCUGCAGAAGCCGUGGUUCUCUGGGGCCCUGGUGGCCAGAUGUGGCGGUGCUCAGACACAGUGGCUUUGUCGGCAUGGCAGGGUGGCAGAGGCUGUGGCUCAGCCAGCCCUCCACAGGACCCAUGUGGGGCACCAGCUGGGGCCAGAUGCUGUGCCUUUGGCUUCUGCUACUCGGCUCCCCAUCUGCUGCUGCUUCAGGCUGGAGGGGUUUGUUCUUCCCCUCCCACUCCCUCCAUACCUUCCUCCCCCAGCCAUCCCUCCACAUUCUCAGAAGCCAUAAUCCCCAUAAGAAACUCCUUUUCCUAAAAUGUGGGCAUUGCUUCUGCUUUCUUGACUGGCCCCAAUCUGCUCAUGGAGUAUGCCCUCAGCAGAGAUACGGCCUUCUCACAUGGAGAGGAUGUUUCACUAGGCAGGUCAGCUGGUCUUUCUCUAAACUUGUCCAAUCUUGCAGAGGGCUCUGGGCAUUGUCUCUGUGUCACCAUGAGGCCUGGGUGUCUGGGUGGGUGGUCACUGCCUGUUCCUGACGUUUCCUUACAGGGGAGAGAUGUCCCUUCGUGGAAGGCUCCAGGCUUCCUGUCCUUGCUUUGUGUCCUGACUCCACAGGGGAGUGAACCUCCUGUGGGUGAGGGGCGGCUCCUGGUCCACCUUUGCCAGUAGGAUGCAGACGAAAGAGGACAUGUCACGAGCUGAAGGGCCUGGGUAUCCCUCCUUCCUUCCUUUCUGCCCAGAUGGGGGGCGGGGAGCAGCUGGCCAGGUCUGCCCUGGGGCAGGGAGGCUGCGUGGCUCGGCCACAGAGCUGUGCCCCAGCCCUUCGUGCAGCAGUGAGAUUUUGGUUCUCCGCGCACUGACUCAUUUGUCUGAUUUCUUCCUCAGUUUGGAACCUGGGUUUGGGUCCCCCCUCAAAGACCUGGGUGACAGGCAAGCUUUAAAAACAGCAUUUUUAAGGCACCAAAUUGCUCUUUCCCACGUUGGUAUUUCCUUCGUGCUAAACAGAAAGCUCGUGUUGGAAUCUGGGCUCUGCCACUGACUGGCUGUGUGGCCUGGGGAGAGUUCCAAAUCCCUGCGUCCUUGAAGUAAAGUGCAGAUAAAAAUACUUUCCAUUAAAAAAAAAAAAAACAACUUUCCAUUGAAGUUCUCAGAACAGGGGAGAUAGUGAAUGAGCACAUGCUCUGCAAACUGCAAAACACCGUGUACAGAUCAACCCACUUCAUCAACCCUGAUGCGCACUCUCCCCCAUGCUGGGUGCAUGUGAUGGGGGCAGGGCAGCCUGGCGGGGGUCGUCCCCGUAGGCUCUUUUGUGGACGUGGAGGCUUUUCCUUGUGCCACGUGCACAGCUGUAGCCCAGGCCACAAACCACACACGACCACCUGAGGACGGAUGGGGUCCCACUUGUGGCUAAAGCCCUUCCUCCGACACCUUGCACACACAUUUUCUUUUGAUGCAUGCACACGAGGGAAAGGUGGUAUAAAACAUCUCUAAAUCAACCCACAAGAGUUUUGGUUUUAUGAAUUCUAAGAUCAAUUAAAAGAGAGCAGAAAGCAUUGUAGUAAAGUGUGGUCGGCAGUGCUCUCUGGUCUUCUUAGUCGUCCGUGAUACAUGCUGUGUGCGUGUGGAUCUGAUGACAUACGUGAUUUAUAUCUGUCAGAUUUGGGCAGAUCUGAGGGAAGAGCUUUACUCUGCAACUAAAUUGCUGUGUGAACUUGACCUUGCUGCUCAGUGCCUUUUCUGAGAGUGGGGGAAGUGUGGGUUACGACUCUGGGUUUCAGGUGAUAUGGAGACGCCACAACAGAUCACCCAACUGCAGACCCCAGGCCUGGCUGCAGACCCUGGUCCUGCUCACCUCUGUGAGUCACCUGGCCCUCGGCCCAGCAUUCCGAAAGGGGCCCUCUCCAGGCUUUCUUUAUGCAGUUGUCUUGUGACGGGCACACAGGAAAAUAUCAGGGUUAUGUCGCACUCCUGGCCCGGGAGUGGGAGUUGGUACUUAACCUCCUUUUGAGGGAUAAGCACAUGCGGAAGUAGCUCGUAGGGGGAUGAAAACCAGCCUCCAGAUUCACUUCACUGACAUUCAUACAGCAGAUUUCCUACGAAACUCUUGAACUAAUUCCAGGUAGAGUUCUCAUCCAAAAACACCCACUGCAAACAGCCAGGAUGUUGGAGUGAUGUCAGAUUGUGACACACGGUUGAGACCUAGAGUCCUCCUGAAGGGAUGCUAAUAGGACCGGGGACUUAUUCCAGGAUCCCUGCCCCAGGGACUUGCCAAAGAGGAGGCAGAGGGACACAGUAGCAUGGUGCCCCUGAGAUCCUAGUCCUUCUGGCAAGACACCCCUGGUUGUCUCCCUCCUGCCUCUGGACCCCCAUCAGGCGACUCACCAGCUACAAAGGGCUUGCCCUCUCCAGUGCUAUUUGUGGCUUCGCGGCUCACGCAGGGCUUUUACUUGGUUCAGAGGAAGCCUUUGUGUGCCAGGAAGGCCAGCGUGGAGGCCAGCUCCUCCCAGCCCACAGACAUCAGCUGCGUGUGCAGGGACAAUCUCUUUCCUUUUCCAAAUAGGGCUUGAAAGUCAUCUGUGUCGAGACACCUCCCUUUCUCAGUGGUGGCAGCGGAUGGCUAUGCUCUGUCCUGCUCUAGGAUAUGAUGCUCUGUGAAUGGGCAGGGAUGGGGAGUGGGGGGCUAGACUUACUGUCAGUCCCCCAUGUUCUCUACCACUUUACCUUGUGAUCAAGGCAAAUGUUUUUUUGGCUGGCUGGGACACCAGGAAACAGGGAUAAGUCACCUCUGGGGACUGUGAACCUGCUUCAAUGCCAGGGAUGUUUCGAUCGGCAGACAGAACUAUUGGAGGAAGAUCCAAAUGCAAGCUGCCUUCCACGCACUAAAAUGGACUGCUGCCAGCUCCGUGGCCCAAGGGAGCCCGAGAGAAAGAGACAAGGACUCCUGCUUGUCCACCCCCCGUGGUACUUCUGGCCAUUCAGGAAUGACUCCCCCAUCCCCUCUCUUUCCUGGGAUUGCUCUGGAAUAUACCCAGCCUGCUGCCUGGGGCUGUCGUGGCUCCUGGGCCCUCACCCCUUGAAAGCAGGUGGGUGGGUGAACUCUGGUCUGCAGGUGACAGGUACCUGCGUUCCUAGCCCAUCUGCCCCCUUCCCGGGUGCUGGCCAGCUGGCACUUCUUCUUGCCCCUGUUUGCAGGUUUGGGGGUGACAGUGGGCAGUAAUGUUUCAUGGGCCUUGGGGAUGGCCACCAACCCUGGCCUCCACUUUAGGGAGAGUGAUAGCCAGAUUGUGACAGAUCUGCCUGGAUCAGGUGUCCACAAUGUAAAAUUGAGGCCUCUGGAAGAGAGGCGAUGAGUGGGGAUGUGGCCCCGGGGCCUUGCUGGGCUGACAGAGACUGUCCUCUGGGGCACUGGUUCACUGGGUGUAUAUAAUUGCCUGACUCUGAAAUGAACACUGGCACUGUGCAUUUGUUUCCACAUGUCCAUCGUACAUCAGCUGACAGUGGUCCCCAGCACCAGUCAGGACUUCUUUUUGCUUUUUUCACAUGUACAUGGGGUUUGUGGUAACUGGGACACCCAUGUCUCUUAGUAAGGGAUGUGCCUAGGAUGUGGUGGUCAUCCACGCAGGCUGGCUGCAAUCUUACUGUCUUUCCCAUGGAGCAAAAUGCAUUUUCUCUUCAGUGAGAACAAGGAAUGUCUGUGGGUUAAUGUCCACCUUUCCUGAAGACUUUACAUGCUUCUACCAGACUCAGCCACCCCCCCCCCCG